rnacentral:rRNA from 1 species
UACGGAGGAUCCAAGCGUUAUCCGGAUUUAUUGGGUUUAAAGGGUGCGUAGGCGGCCUGUUAAGUCAGGGGUGAAAGACGGUGGCUCAACCAUCGCAGUGCCUUUGAUACUGAUAGGCUUGAAUACACUAGAGGUAGGCGGAAUGUGACAAGUAGCGGUGAAAUGCAUAGAUAUGUCACAGAACACCGAUUGCGAAGGCAGCUUACUAUGGUGUCAUUGACGCUGAGGCACGAAAGCGUGGGGAUCAAACAGG